AACCCACGUAUGUUGAAAAAUGCGGGGAUGACGUGUGGCUAGGGGUGAAAGGCCAAUCAAACUCGGAAAUAGCUGGUUCUCCGCGAAAUCUAUUUAGGUAGAGCGUCGUACGAAUACCUCGGGGGGUAGAGCACUGGAUGGGUAAUGGGGCCCCACAGGCUUACUGAUCCUAACCAAACUCCGAAUACCCGAGAGUAAUAUACGGCAGACACACUGCGGGUGCUAACGUCCGUAGUGGAGAGGG
rnacentral:rRNA from 1 species